rnacentral:rRNA from 1 species
GCUCAAAUUUGAAAUCUGGCUCUUUUAGAGUCCGAGUUGUAAUUUGCAGAGGGCGCUUUGGCUUUGGCAGCGGUCCAAGUUCCUUGGAACAGGACGUCACAGAGGGUGAGAAUCCCGUACGUGGUCGCUGGCUAUUGCCGUGUAAAGCCCCUUCGACGAGUCGAGUUGUUUGGGAAUGCAGCUCUAAAUGGGAGGUACAUUUCUUCUAAAGCUAAAUAUUGGCCAGAGACCGAUAGCGCACAAGUAGAGUGAUCGAAAGAUGAAAAGCACUUUGGAAAGAGAGUCAAACAGCACGUGAAAUUGUUGAAAGGGAAGCGCUUGCAGCCAGACUUGCUUGCAGUUGCUCAUCCGGGCUUUUGCCCGGUGCACUCUUCUGUAGGCAGGCCAGCAUCAGUUUGGGCGGUAGGAUAAAGGUCUCUGUCACGUACCUCUCUUCGGGGAGGCCUUAUAGGGGAGACGACAUACUACCAGCCUGGACUGAGGUCCGCGCAUCUGCUAGGAUGCUGGCGUAAUGGCUGUAAGCGGCCCGUCUUGAAACACGGACCAAGGAGUCUAACAUCUAUGCGAGUGUUUGGGUGUCAAGCCCGAGCGCGUAAUGAAAGUGAACGGAGGUGGGAACCCGCAAGGGUGCACCAUCGACCGAUCCUGAUGUCUUCGGAAGGAUUUGAGUAAGAGCAUGGCUGUUGGGACCCGAAAGAUGGUGAACUAUGCUUGAAUAGGGUGAAGCCAGAGGAAACUCUGGUGGAGGCUCGCAGCGGUUCUGACGUGCAAAUCGAUCGUCAAAUUUGGGCAUAGGGGCGAAAGACUAAUCGAACUAUCUAGUAGCUGGU